CCAUGGUGACCACGGGUGACGGGGAA
rnacentral:piRNA from 1 species